rnacentral:rRNA from 1 species
ACACAGGUGGUCAGGUAGAGAAUACCAAGGCGCUUGAGAGAACUCGGGUGAAGGAACUAGGCAAAAUGGUGCCGUAACUUCGGGAGAAGGCACGCUGAUAUGUAGGUGAAGUCCCUGCGGACGGAGCUGAAAUCAGUCGAAGAUACCAGCUGGCUGCAACUGUUUAUUAAAAACACAGCACUGUGCAAACACGAAAGUGGACGUAUACGGUG